UGAGACAUCUAAGGUUGCAUUCUACAAGGCUGGCUUCGGAUGCUGAAUCUGACCUACAUUUUUUUCUGGAUGAGUGAAAAGGUUAAAUUUUUAUGCAGGUUUCAUUUAUAAGUAACUAUUAGCCAUAUGUUGUGCAAACUCGCUUGGAUGAUACAUCUUAGUAUGCAUACUAAUGGACUUGCUCUGGAUGCUGAAUUCGACAUACAUUUCUAGAUAAUGGAACAGGUAAAAGUUAUGGGUGCAUGUCUAUCACCAAGAAGCUAUAAGGCUUAAAUAAACCAAACUUGCCCAAAUGAUGCAUCAAGGGAUGAAAACUCUUAGACUAGCUUGCUUCAGAUGCUGGAUUUUGAUCACAUUUUCGUGAUGAAGAACUAGUUUGAAGUUUUUAUAUAGGUCUCCAUGUAUUCCAAAGUUUUAGAUCAAAAUUGCAUAAAUUUUGCAUUUUUGGAUGUACACUUUUUGUUGGGUAAUUUUGUAACUUUGCCUUACUUAAAGACAACAUUCGUUGAGGUGAGCUUUGUAAUCUCUGAUUACCUAUGUUUUUUGUUCCGCAACGCUGGGUAUUAAGUAACCAAACUAAGCAAUUGCUCAGUGUAUACAUGUAGUUAUGAUGAGCUAUGGCGCCUCCUUAAAAAUUGUGAAUGUCAUGGCGUCUAGUUUAAAACAUUCAUGAACAAAAUUCAGUCAGUGGAAAAUUGUUGCAUGAUGCGCAGGUGGCAUAUAAGGCCAAUAUGGGCCUCUUGUUUAAAUUUGGAAAAUGAAACAAGACUGGGUUAGUCAAUUGAAAGGUUGAGGCAUCUGGGAAUAUUGUCUAUAAGACAGAUAUUGGUUGCUGUAAAUUUACAUAUUUCACUGAAUAUUUCUUGGGAGUCUUAACAUGUUUUACAGCAGCUUUAAUGAAGCGUUUAAUUUCGCUCUAGUUGAUUGAUUCUUUACCAUUAAUUUUUAAUGUUGUGUCUCGAAUAGCCAUUUUUUCUCACAAGGAAAAUGUGAUAAAAAGUGAUCACACAAACUCAUAUCAAAUCAUUAAAGGUUCAUUCAUGAUAGAAAGUCAAGCUUGAUGUCAUAUGAUUUGUAUGUUGUAUGCCACAGAGUUUAAGACAUAAUUUUUUGAAUUCGCGGUCGCGGCUGAAAUUCGAACUCACCACCUCCCGAUCGCGGAGCGAGCGCUUUACCGAUUAAGCUACAUGUACCGUGAACUGUCCACCAUAAAUCAUAUGGCGCCCACAAGUAACAUUUCUUUUGAAAAUAUCCAUUUAAAAUUUUUGGAGAAAGUUUUUCAAAUGACAAAUUGUAUCAAAUCUUGUAUUACCAUUAAGCCUUAUAUCCCCUCCGUAACUGGUAGAAGACGUGCAUUAACCCAACUGAACACAUUGUCGAGACACUUCCCGCUUCAAGUUUCAUAUUAAAAUUGUACUUCUGUAAAGAUAUUUCCUCAAUAUUACUCAGACCAUGGCUUCUUUACGUUGGUUAAUAUGUUUGUUUUGCAUUGCAUUUGUAAAAGAAUGUGAUGCACUGAGGAUUCGUUAUUCAUAUUAUCGCUCCUACUACUAUUACUCCAACUAUUAUACUUACUACUACUACGGGUAAGACUCUACUACAAGUGUUGGAUUAUAUGUUGGAAUUGUCUUGGGGAUCGUAGCCUUUCUUACUCUUGUCUUUUUUGUGAUCUGCUGCGUCUGCUGUCGAAGAAGACAGAACACUACCGGUAUGGUACUCACUAACCCAUCAACGCAGCAGACAGUGAUAACAUCAAAUCUUUCUGCUGGAGAUCAAUGUCCCCCAACUUCAAAUCAAAACAACAUUGCCCAGUACAAUACAGCAUUUCAGUAUGGAAUGGGAGCCCCUGGUCAAAGUUUUGACAAUUCGUCUGCUCCAAGGAACGGUGAACCCGCACCAUCUUACGAAUCUGUGGUAGGUCAAGAUGGACCUAUUCCAUCUUCCUACACCAUGCAAGAAAGCUUUCCGGACACAUGUUCUGUACCAUACAAAACAUGAAGCUGUGAAACAAGUAUAAAACUUUUAAUUUUGUUCAGCGAAUCUAUGUCACAUUUUCUUAUAUUUCAUUAUAAUUCUGAAAUUUCAUUUUUUAUAAUUAGCUUUCAAUAUUUCUGACUAAAGUAAAACACAAUGGAUAAUUCAGCAAGUACCUUGAAUUUGUUUAACUUGAGUACUGACAAGUUCAUAUUGCCGAUAUACAGCAUAUUGUGUGCAUUUGAGAGUUAAAUAUUAUUGUACAAUGUAUAUGGUUUUAAGCACUGGUUUAAGCACUGAUUGUAAUGUUAAGUCAUAAUAAAAAGUUGCAGUGACUUUUAAGAAUACAUGUACUCCAAACAAUUCUUUUCGUGAAGUUAAAAUACUAUAAAUUAUAGCGGGAUUAAUACGUGCAUGUAAUAUGAAGUUCUAUACUGUAGUUGUUGGAAAUAAAGAAUAAAAUGUCGUUCUACUUACGAAA